CUAAAGUUAGCUAAUCGUAAAUAGCAACGCUGUUCAAAGCGUUUGAUCUGACAGCGACAUAGGCAGUUAGGUGUAAGUUAGUAGACGUUAGUGGUGGGCGAUACUGCAAAAUUUGGUAUCGAUCCGAUACCAAAUACAUAUAGGGUCAGUAUUGCCGAUACCAAUACCAAUACGAUACUUUUUACUUAAAAAAAAAUACUUUUGUGUAGGGGAGAGCAGUAUGUCAUUGUUUCUCAGGUGAAUGAAUGAUCAAUUCUUUAGACAAUAUUUUUUAUUAAUGUAUUGAAGUCACAACGCUUCUCUUCCUCUCGGCCAUCCUGAUCUCUCAUUCAAUGUGCUAUCAGAUUCGCUCACUCAGUUCGCUGCUCCUCGGCGCGUUGUGUCAGUGAGUCACGUGACGACACAACAACGAAUCGCAGCAGGAGGGGGAGGAGUAGCAAAGUGGGCCAGGAUGUGAAAGCAGCGUUUGCUCAGGAUUGUAGAGGUAGAAGACACGAGCAAAGUAUAAUGAACGUAGAGGUGAGAUAUUUAAAUUAAAAUAUCGAUUCAAUUACAAUUGUAUCGAUCUGAUACCAAUACCAGUGUUGGCAUCGAUACUAUCGAUAUUUAGAUCGAUCCACCCACCUCUAGUAGACGUUAGUCUCCCCCUUUGUAAAGUCAGGAACAACCGGAGUACGUACCGCAGGGACGGAAAAACAUUAUUAUUCGGAGGUUAUAUGGCCAUUGGUAUAAAAUGCUAACGUUACCGUUUCAACAAAACAGUUGUUUGGUAAACAUUGAAAAAGUGGAAACACUGAAAAUGUUGAAUUAUCUUACCAGUCUAGCAGAAAACAGGCAACUUCGGCGUCGCCUUGAAAACAUUUGUCUUUCAACAGUGCCUUCCAUCUGGUAAUAGAUACACCGAUGUUUAUCCUGGAUUUCUGCCGCUGUUUGUCUCUAAUUCGUCUGGCAGCAUCACGUUUGCGCUUCUUUGACGACGGAGAUUCACGCCGUGUUGGCUCUUGUGCACAAUACGCAUGGUCCUCCAUUUUAUCAAAACUUCUAAGACAGAACAAUCAAUUGCUUCAGCUAGGCGACGACUACUCCUCCUUCUCUCUGUACUACGACUUACUACUUUGUGCGUCUUCAACUCAGUGAUGACGCAAGCUGCGUCUAAAAACACACACGAAGACCAACAUAUACGAAACGCGCUCUGUAGAGCUGUUUGUCCGUUAGAGCUUACUGUACAAAACAUGGCUGCGCAACAUAACAAAUUCCAUGUAGAUAGGCCCGCUCCCUAUGUAGAUACAACUGGUUUAUUCUAAGGUAAUAAAAACAUAACUUUUCAUUACGUAAGGUUUUUAUACACAUCUAAAGACACAGUUUUGUAUGUUAUAUUGCAUUUCUGUUAAUAGAUCAUACAAAACAUCCCGCACUGUACUUUUAAGAUCAAGCAGCAGAUUAUACGAGUUGGCAGACUAUUAAAGAAAACUGAAUUUGUGAAGACAAAAGGAAAAUUUUUGAUUAACCAGUGGACUGCCAACCCGUCAAUUCAGCAACUUAUAAGCAGUAAUCUGCUAUAUCUUUUGCCUCUUACGUGAUUUUUCAGAAUAAUUUCUUCAUAUGAAUAUAUGAGACAAGCAAAAAAGGCUUAUGUUGAUCAUUUUCAUGUCCCUAGAAAGGUGUAAUUAAACAUCGAACAGAUUAGACUAAUUUAGAAAAACACAAAGCAAAAUGACAGGCCAUCAACCUACAUCACUGCAUUCUGUCCUUGUUGACCCACUGCAUCAUCGCUUCGAAUAUGAUCUGCAUGAUGUCCAGCUGUUACGCUGCAUCUCUCUUGCUGUUCCUGUCUGAUUGGGCGAAUUCAUUUCCCAAGGGCCACUUCCCAUCAAGUGAUCUGAAACUCUUUAGCCCAGAAUGAGAGAGCUCUCCUGCAUGCAUUGGUUAGUUAGUCUGAGUAUGUGCUAUUAUAAUUGUUCUAAAUGCUUCUCAGAACUACACUCCACAAGAGUGCACAGCCUCAGCUUGUUUUGUGUGUGUGCGUUAGCGAGAGAUGAUGCGUACGCUUGUUUGUUUAUUUGCGCGUCUCUCAAAAGCCUCGCCACCCUCUUCCGCUCUGCCUCCACCGUGCGUAGCUAAUGCGAUGCAACAUUAGCAUAGCGUUUGAUGUUGAGUUAGAAGACGUUUAGGCGCUCCAUGUUUAACAACUGUGUCAAGUGUUGGCACCGUCUACAUGCUUCAAUAACGACAUCAAACAAUACACAGCAACCGCAACAUUCCCACCAUGCUUUGUCACCCCCAUGUAUGCCCUCAGAGAAAGAAACGGCCUCAGAGCGAUGAAUAAUACAGGACGAAAUCACUUCGCCAACAGGGACCUCCAUUACAAGCCGAAAGAAGACAGCGCACUUGAAGCAGGCCACUGCGGGGAACCGCAUUCAUCAGAUUCUACCUUUCCCAUUUUAUUUGUGUAUCUGCUCUUCCCUCCUCAGUCAGAUAAAAAGAGCCAUCGGGUGGACAGGCCGAGUCUGAUGAAUGCAGAGGGAAGGAGGAGGGAGGGAGAUUAGAGGUCUGGAGAGAGAGAGCUUCCUGGAAAAGGAAAGAUAAGAGGAAGAGGAGGCAGCGGAGAAGCGUAGGACAAGAAAUAAUAUUCAGAUUAAUAAACUUGCUUUAUUCAAACCAUUAAAGGAAAAAGAUGCAGCCUUGAAAAGCAGUUUUGCUGGGGAUUUUUUUAAAGCCGAUCUCAAAUUGAAAGAAGACAACCAUUAGACGAGCAUGAGGUGAUUUGAGGUAUUGAAUCAAAUCUUUGCAUUUUACCAUGCAACACAAAGAGCUGGAACAGCACAUGUGAGGGGAGUUUUCGAUUUGGUGGACCUUGAAGUGAAACAAACAGUGAAACUAAACAUCAGCACUCUUGGAAUGUCACUGAGCCAAUCACUUUACAGCAUCUAAAGGCACAUUGACAUGAAGGACUGUAACUAUCAGGAUUAUUAUCGUAAAUGAAAACUAUCACAAAAACUGCACUCAAAAUUUUUAAGUACCACUUUUAGUGCUAUAUAGCAUUAUAUUUUUUAUAUUUUGUGAAGCUAUUAGUAAAAAACAAACAAAAGUAAAAAAAAAACGUAACCUGCAAAACGAAUGAAAACUAAUUACAUUUUAGGAAAACAUUUUUGUAUUUUAAAUGGUGUUGGAUCAGCAGUUGAUCGCGGAGUGACUCAUGUUACAGAAUCAUAAAUAAGCAGAUGUUGCUGGAUCAUUAAUGAUCAUAAUGACCAUUAACAAACAAACUUUUUUUUAAAUCCUUUUAUUUUCAACAUUUCCAUAUGUGUUUGCAUUUAAUAUUUA